rnacentral:rRNA from 1 species
CCUACGGGAGGCAGCAGUGGGGAAUAUUGGGCAAUGGGGGAAACCCUGACCCAGCGACGCCGCGUGAGGGAAGACGGCCUUCGGGUUGUAAACCUCUUUUGUACGGGAAGAAGGAAGUGACGGUACUGUACGAAUAAGUCCCGGCUAACUACGUGCCAGCAGCCGCGGUAAU